rnacentral:rRNA from 1 species
GAUGGACGCUGGCGGCGUGCCUAAUACAUGCAAGUCGAGCGAACGGACGAGAAGCUUGCUUCUCUGAUGUUAGCGGCGGACGGGUGAGUAACACGUGGAUAACCUACCUAUAAGACUGGGAUAACUUCGGGAAACCGGAGCUAAUACCGGAUAAUAUUUUGAACCGCAUGGUUCAAAAGUGAAAGACGGUCUUGCUGUCACUUAUAGAUGGAUCCGCGCUGCAUUAGCUAGUUGGUAAGGUAACGGCUUACCAAGGCAACGAUGCAUAGCCGACCUGAGAGGGUGAUCGGCCACACCGGAACUGAGACACGGUCCAGACUCCUACGGGAGGCAGCAGUAGGGAAUCUUCCGCAAUGGGCGAAAGCCUGACGGAGCAACGCCGCGUGAGUGAUGAAGGUCUUCGGAUCGUAAAACUCUGUUAUUAGGGAAGAACAUAUGUGUAAGUAACUGUGCACAUCUUGACGGUACCUAAUCAGAAAGCCACGGCUAACUACGUG